ensembl:snRNA U2 U2 spliceosomal RNA
GUCUCUUCAUGGCCUUUGGCUAAGAUGAACUAUAAUAUCUGUUCUUGACAGUUUAAUAUCUGAUAUUUCCUCUAUCUGAGGAUGCAAUAUUAAGCUGAUUUGGGGGGUAGGAAAUGGAAUAAGGGCUUGCUCCAACUACUCUGCACGCCAACCUGGCAUUGCAGUAUGUCCAGGAAUGGUAUACUCCUC